rnacentral:rRNA from 1 species
CAGUCGCCACGGGAAUACGUAGGGUGCGAGCGUUAAUCGGAAUUACUGGGCGUAAAGCGUGCGCAGGCGGUUUUGUAAGACAGGCGUGAAAUCCCCGGGCUCAACCUGGGAAUGGCGCUUGUGACUGCAAAGCUAGAGUGCGGCAGAGGGGGAUGGAAUUCCGCGUGUAGCAGUGAAAUGCGUAGAUAUGCGGAGGAACACCGAUGGCGAAGGCAAUCCCCUGGGCCUGCACUGACGCUCAUGCACGAAAGCGUGGGGAGCAAACAGGAUUAGAGACCCCCGUAGUCCCUGUCUCUUAUAC